rnacentral:rRNA from 1 species
AUUGAACGCUGGCGGCAUGCCUUACACAUGCAAGUCGAACGGCAGCGGGGGAGAAGCUUGCUUUUCCUGCCGGCGAGUGGCGAACGGGUGAGUAAUACAUCGGAACGUGCCCUGUAGUGGGGGAUAACAAGUCGAAAGAUUAGCUAAUACCGCAUACGACCUGAGGGUGAAAGUGGGGGACCGCAAGGCCUCAUGCUAUAGGAGCGGCCGGUGUCUGAUUAGCUAGUUGGUGGGGUAAAGGCCUACCAAGGCGACGAUCAGUAGCUGGUCUGAGAGGACGAUCAGCCACACUGGGACUGAGACACGGCCCAGACUCCUACGGGAGGCAGCAGUGGGGAAUUUUGGACAAUGGGCGAAAGCCUGAUCCAGCAAUGCCGCGUGUGUGAAGAAGGCCUUCGGGUUGUAAAGCACUUUUGUCCGGAAAGAAAUGGCUCUGGUUAAUACCUGGGGUCGAUGACGGUACCGGAAGAAUAAGGACCGGCUAACUACGUGCCAGCAGCCGCCGUAAGAC